AAUGAACGUUGGCGGCGUGGAUUAGGCAUACAAGUCGCGCGAGAAGUCAUUUAGCUUGCUAAAAGACGGACAGCGGCGGAAGGGAGAGUAACGCGUGGUUAUGUACCCUCGAGACCGGGAUAGUGUCGGGAAACUGGCAGUAAUACCGGAUAACAUCUUCGGAUCAAAUGGUGUGAUUCCGCUCGAGGAUCGGACCGCGUACUAUUAGCUAGUUGGAGGGGUAAUGGCCCACCAAGGCUUAGAUGGUUACCGGGUGUGAGAGCAUGGCCCGGCUCACUGGGACUGAGACACUGCCCAGACAUCUACGGAUGGCUGCAGUCGAGAAUCUUCGGCAAUGGACGAAAGUCUGACCGAGCGACGCCGCGUGCGGGAUGAAGGCCUUCGGGUUGUAAACCGCUGUCAGUUAGGAGGAAAUCCAUGAGGGUUCUCUCUCAUGGUUGACCGAUUUUCAGAGGAAGGACGGGCUAAGUUCGUGCCAGCCGCCGCAGUAAAAC
rnacentral:rRNA from 1 species